CAAAAAAAAACAAAAAAAAUCAAAAAACAAAAAAAAAAAAACAAAGCAAAAUUUGAUAUUCAAAAGAACAUCACAAGAAAUGUCAUCAUCACAUUUUGCUAUCCUUUUCAUGAUCAUACUUUCUCUCGUUCCUCAUGGAUCUGGGGAAACACAAAAGUUUGACGCGACCAAGAAAGAUGCAAACGGAGGAAAAGGUGUUGAAUCGAACAAGUUAGGUUCCUCAGUGUGCCUUCGUCAAACAUGUAGAAGUCACCACGGACCAGAUACGUGUUAUUGCUGUUUCAGAGAUCGUAGCAGGUGUUAUCCUAAUUUAUAUCAUUGUGCGAAUGACUGCACAUUCCUAAUGGCUUAACUUAACUUAAUGACUUUACCUAAAGGAAACAGAUACAAUAUAAUUAUAUGCUCGUCGUAACUAAUUGUGUUUAGUGCCAUUGAAAGUUUACUUUCUAAAAAUUAUUACACUUUACUAUGGAAUAAUAUGUUUUAAAUAAGUAUAUUGUAAAACUAAUAUGAUUUUGUAAAAAAAAUAAUCAUAAUAUCAUAGUUGUAUAACAGGAAAAUUUUGAAAGUACAAUUGUAAUA